rnacentral:snRNA from 1 species
GUGUUUGCUUCAGCAGCACAUAUACUAAAAUUGGAAUGAUACAGAGAAGAUAAGCGUGGCCCCUGAGCAAGGAUGGCAUGCAAACUUAUGAAACAUUCCAUAUUAAA